GUGAGGAAUAUUGGUCAAUGGGCGCAAGCCUGAACCAGCCAUGCCGCGUGCAGGAAGACGGUCCUAUGGAUUGUAAACUGCUUUUAUUUGGGAAUAAACUCCGGUACGUGUACCGGCCUGAAGGUACCAAAUGAAUAAGCACCGGCUAACUCCGUGCCAGCAGCCGCGGUAAUACGGAGGGUGCAAGCGUUAUCCGGAAUCAUUGGGUUUAAAGGGUCCGCAGGCGGUCUUAUAAGUCAGUGGUGAAAGCCUACAGCUCAACUGUAGAACUGCCAUGGAUACUGUAGGACUUGAAUUCGAUCGAAGUGGGCGGAAUGUGACAUGUAGCGGUGAAAUGCUUAGAUAUGUCACAGAACACCGAUAGCGAAGGCAGCUCACUAGGUCUGGAUUGACGCUCAGGGACGAAAGCGUGGGGAGCAAACAGGAUUAGAAACCCGGGUAGUCC
rnacentral:rRNA from 1 species